AGACCCGAAACCCGGUGAUCUAGCCAUGGGCAGGUUGAAGGUUGGGUAACACUAACUGGAGGACCGAACCGACUAAUGUUGAAAAAUUAGCGGAUGACCUGUGGCUGGGGGUGAAAGGCCAAUCAAACCGGGAGAUAGCUGGUUCUCCCCGAAAGCUAUUUAGGUAGCGCCUCGUGAAUUCAUCUCCGGGGGUAGAGCACUGUUUCGGCUAGGGGGCCAUCCCGGCUUACCAACCCGAUGCAAACUGCGAAUACCGGAGAAUGUUAUCACGGGAGACACACGGCGGGUGCUAACGUCCGUCGUGAAGAGGGAAACAACCCAGACCGCCAGCUAAGGUCCCAAAGUCAUGGUUAAGUGGGAAACGAUGUGGGAAGGCCCAGACAGCCAGGAUGUUGGCUUAGAAGCAGCCAUCAUUUAAAGAAAGCGUAAUAGCUCACUGGUCGAGUCGGCCUGCGCGGAAGAUGUAACGGGGCUAAACCAUGCACCGAAGCUGCGGCAGCGACACUGUGUGUUGUUGGGUAGGGGAGCGUUCUGUAAGCCUGUGAAGGUGGCCUGUGAGGGUUGCUGGAGGUAUCAGAAGUGCGAAUGCUGACAUAAGUAACGAUAAAGCGGGUGAAAAGCCCGCUCGCCGGAAGACCAAGGGUUCCUGUCCAACGUUAAUCGGGGCAGGGUGAGUCGACCCCUAAGGCGAGGCCGAAAGGCGUAGUCGAUGGGAAACGGGUUAAUAUUCCCGUACUUGGUGUUACUGCGAAGGGGGGACGGAGAAGGCUAUGUUGGCCGGGCGACGGUUGUCCCGGUUUAAGCGUGUAGGUGUGUGUUCCAGGUAAAUCCGGUUCACUUUAACACUGAGGCGUGACGACGAGGCACUACGGUGCUGAAGCAACAAAUGCCCUGCUUCCAGGAAAAGCCUCUAAGCAUCAGGUAACAUCAAAUCGUACCCCAAACCGACACAGGUGGUCAGGUAGAGAAUACCAAGGCGCUUGAGAGAACUCGGGUGAAGGAACUAGGCAAAAUGGUGCCGUAACUUCGGGAGAAGGCACGCUGACACGUAGGUGAAGUGAUUUACUCAUGGAGCUGAAGUCAGUCGAAGAUACCAGCUGGCUGCAACUGUUUAUUAAAAACACAGCACUGUGCAAACACGAAAGUGGACGUAUACGGUGUGACGCCUGCCCGGUGCCGGAAGGUUAAUUGAUGGGGUCAGCGCAAGCGAAGCUCCUGAUCGAAGCCCCGGUAAACGGCGGCCGUAACUAUAACGGUCCUAAGGUAGCGAAAUUCCUUGUCGGGUAAGUUCCGACCUGCACGAAUGGCGUAAUGAUGGCCAGGCUGUCUCCACCCGAGACUCAGUGAAAUUGAACUCGCUGUGAAGAUGCAGUGUACCCGCGGCAAGACGGAAAGACCCCGUGAACCUUUACUAUAGCUUGACACUGAACAUUGAGCCUUGAUGUGUAGGAUAGGUGGGAGGCUUUGAAGUGUGGACGCCAGUCUGCAUGGAGCCGACCUUGAAAUACCACCCUUUAAUGUUUGAUGUUCUAACGUGGACCCGUAAUCCGGGUUGCGGACAGUGUCUGGUGGGUAGUUUGACUGGGGCGGUCUCCUCCUAAAGAGUAACGGAGGAGCACGAAGGUUGGCUAAUCCUGGUCGGACAUCAGGAGGUUAGUGCAAUGGCAUAAGCCAGCUUGACUGCGAGCGUGACGGCGCGAGCAGGUGCGAAAGCAGGUCAUAGUGAUCCGGUGGUUCUGAAUGGAAGGGCCAUCGCUCAACGGAUAAAAGGUACUCCGGGGAUAACAGGCUGAUACCGCCCAAGAGUUCAUAUCGACGGCGGUGUUUGGCACCUCGAUGUCGGCUCAUCACAUCCUGGGGCUGAAGUAGGUCCCAAGGGUAUGGCUGUUCGCCAUUUAAAGUGGUACGCGAGCUGGGUUUAGAACGUCGUGAGACAGUUCGGUCCCUAUCUGCCGUGGGCGCUGGAGAACUGAGGGGGGCUGCUCCUAGUACGAGAGGACCGGAGUGGACGCAUCACUGGUGUUCGGGUUGUCAUGCCAAUGGCACUGCCCGGUAGCUAAAUGCGGAAGAGAUAAGUGCUGAAAGCAUCUAAGCACGAAACUUGCCCCGAGAUGAGUUCUCCCUGAGACUUAAAGUCUCCUGAAGGAACGUUGAAGACGACGACGUUGAUAGGCCGGGUGUGUAAGCGCAGCGAUGCGUUGAGCUAACCGGUACUAAUGAACCGUGAGGCUUAACCUUACAACGCCGAAG
rnacentral:rRNA from 1 species